rnacentral:rRNA from 1 species
UACGUAGGGUGCAAGCGUUAAUCGGAAUUACUGGGCGUAAAGCGUGCGCAGGCGGUUUUGUAAGUCUGUCGUGAAAUCCCCGGGCUCAACCUGGGAAUUGCGAUGGAGACUGCAAGGCUUGAAUCUGGCAGAGGGGGGUAGAAUUCCACGUGUAGCAGUGAAAUGCGUAGAGAUGUGGAGGAACACCGAUGGCGAAGGCAGCCCCCCUGGGUCAAGAUUGACGCUCAUGCACGAAAGCGUGGGGAGCAAACAGG